rnacentral:rRNA from 1 species
UGAGGAAUAUUGGUCAAUGGGCGCAAGCCUGAUCCAGCCAUGCCGCGUGCAGGAAGAAGCGUCUAUGGUGUGUAAACUGCUUUUGUACGGGAAGAAACACUCCUACGUGUAGGAGCUUGACGGUACCGUAAGAAUAAGGAUCGGCUAACUCCGUGCCAGCAGCCGCGGUAAUACGGAGGAUCCAAGCGUUAUCCGGAAUCAUUGGGUUUAAAGGGUCCGUAGGCGGGUCUGUAAGUCAGUGGUGAAAUCUCCCCGCUCAACGGGGAAACUGCCAUUGAUACUGCAGGUCUUGAAUUAUUGGGAAGUAACUAGAAUAUGUAGUGUAGCGGUGAAAUGCUUAGAUAUUACAUGGAACACCAAUUGCGAAGGCAGGUUACUACUUGUGGAUUGACGCUGAUGGACGAAAGCGUGGGGAGCGAACA